rnacentral:rRNA from 1 species
AUGAACGCUAGCUACAGGCUUAACACAUGCAAGUCGAGGGGCAGCAUGACUUAGCAAUAGGUUGAUGGCGACCGGCGCACGGGUGAGUAACACGUAUCCAACCUGCCGAUUAUUCCGGGAUAGCCUUUCGAAAGAAAGAUUAAUACUGGAUAGCAUAACGAGAAGGCAUCUUCUUGUUAUUAAAGAAUUUCGAUAAUCGAUGGGGAUGCGUUCCAUUAGUUUGUUGGCGGGGUAACGGCCCACCAAGACAUCGAUGGAUAGGGGUUCUGAGAGGAAGGUCCCCCACAUUGGAACUGAGACACGGUCCAAACUCCUACGGGAGGCAGCAGUGAGGAAUAUUGGUCAAUGGACGAGAGUCUGAACCAGCCAAGUAGCGUGAAGGAUGACUGCCCUAUGGGUUGUAAACUUCUUUUGUAUGGGAAUAAAGUGAGCCACGUGUGGCUUUUUGUAUGUACCAUACGAAUAAGGAUCGGCUAACUCCGUGCCAGCAGCCGCGGUAAUACGGAGGAUCCGAGCGUUAUCCGGAUUUAUUGGGUUUAAAGGGAGCGUAGGCGGAUUAUUAAGUCAGUUGUGAAAGUUUGCGGCUCAACCGUAAAAUUGCAGUUGAUACUGGUAGUCUUGAGUGCAGCAGAGGUAGGCGGAAUUCGUGGUGUAGCGGUGAAAUGCUUAGAUAUCACGAAGAACUCCGAUUGCGAAGGCAGCUUACUGGACUGUAACUGACGCUGAUGCUCGAAAGUGUGGGUAUCAAACAGGAUUAGAUACCCUGGUAGUCCACGCCGUAAACGAUGACUACUAGGUGUCGGGUGGCAAAGCCAUUCGGUGCCGCAGCCAACGCAAUAAGUAGUCCACCUGGGGAGUACGUUCGCAAGAAUGAAACUCAAAGGAAUUGACGGGGGCCCGCACAAGCGGUGGAGCAUGUGGUUUAAUUCGAAGCAACGCGAAGAACCUUACCAGGUCUUGACAUCGAUCUAAAGGCUCCAGAGAUGGAGAGAUAGCUAUAGAGAAGACAGGUGGUGCAUGGUUGUCGUCAGCUCGUGCCGUGAGGUGUCGGCUUAAGUGCCAUAACGAGCGCAACCCUUAUCUUUAGUUACUAACAGGUCAUGCUGAGGACUCUAGAGAGACUGCCGUCGUAAGAUGUGAGGAAGGUGGGGAUGACGUCAAAUCAGCACGGCCCUUACGUCCGGGGCUACACACGUGUUACAAUGGGGGGUACAGAAGGCAGCUACACAGCGAUGUGAUGCUAAUCCCAAAAGCCUCUCUCAGUUCGGAUUGGAGUCUGCAACCCGACUCCAUGAAGCUGGAUUCGCUAGUAAUCGCGCAUCAGCCACGGCGCGGUGAAUACGUUCCCGGGCCUUGUACACACCGCCCGUCAAGCCAUGAAAGCCGGGGGUACCUGAAGUACGUAACCGCAAGGAGCGUCCUAGGGUAAAACUGGUAAUUGGGGCU